CAAGAGGUUAACCAGCAGCACACUCCUCUCCUGGGUGGUCGUUCGUUCGGUAGUUUCAAUCGGUAGUUUGCAAAUUACACGAACGGGGUUAUAUGAACAGGCAAUUCAGCGAACAAAGGGAAACAGACGAACCAGCAAUACAGAUGAAUCUGUCACAUUUUUCUUCUUUUAAAUAUAGUCUCCUCCUUUACUGUGUUGAUUCCCUUUAUAUAUUUAAAUGUUUCUAUCAUAUCCCCCCUGUCUCGUCUUUCCUCCAAACUAUACAUGUUAAGAUCCUUUAACCUUUCCUGGUAAGUUUUAUCCCGCAAUCCAUGAACCAGUUUAGUAGCCCUUCUCUGAACCCUCUCUAAGGUAUCAAUAUCCUUCUGAAGAUACGGUCUCCAGUACUGUGUAC